AGUAUACUCACCGCUGCGCAGCGUCCCGGUUGGCGGGCCGCGUAGGCCGGGCCGCCGCGGAAAGGAAAGGCCGGAGCCCUCCGGCUCCCUCCCCUGGGACACUUCCUGCACCGCUCUAGGACCGAGGAGGUCUCCUCAUCUCAGUGGUUCGCUUCCCCGCCUCCUGGCCGAGGUGUACGCGGGGGGGUGACAUCCGACACCCCCGGCCCGCCUGGACCGCCCCGCCCCGCCCCGCUCCGUGCUCUCCCGGCCUGGGCCCGGGGCCCGGGCUUUAGCUUUGUGGGCCUUCCUAGCGGGCUCGGGAUGCGCGCGCGCGCCCCGGCGGGACCCGGGCGCUGGGGGCCAGUUCGCGCGGCCACCAGCCAGGGAGGCCGGCUUGGGGCUUUGCUCUUCUCUGCUCCUCUUGUGUGGGCGCAGGGAAGGGCUGGUCUGGCGGCGCUGGCGAAAUGCCAGAAUUGGGAGGAGGAGGGAUGAGGUGUAAGGGGAUCUCCCAGUGACCAUUUGCAUCCCGUGUGUGCUGUUGUGCCCCAAUCCCUUCCAGCCGCAAUUCCAUUUCAAAGCCAACGCUGCCAGAGCCACCCAAAUCGGUAGGACUGGAGAAAUGCAGACCCAGCGAUCCACGGUGCUCGCCGAAGCAGCGGCCCGCGGCUUCGUGGCAUGGAGAUGAUCUACGAUUUCUCUGUUUAAGGAAGACUGUAGCACUCUGGGUCCCUCUGAGCACCAGGAUAGUCCUGGUACAUGGUAGGAAGUCACCCUUAAAGAAGGUGGUUUGAUAGAGACACCCCACCACCGGCAGACUUCGUGCUUCCGUUUCCUUCUAAUAAUUGGGACUGGGACAAUCUCUUCCGACUAGUAGAACCUGGAAUAGGGACUAAUAGACUGGAAUCGGAGCACCUGUGUUAAAUCACACCCAUCAAGGCGCAGUCAGGUGAUCUAAGGCCUGCGUGACCUCUCUGUGCUUCAGGGAUCGCAUUUGGAUGCAUGUGCAAGCUGUGCUGUAGCCACCUCAGGUCCUGAAUCUUUAGGACUUGCUGGAGCUCAUUGCUGAUCUAUUUUGGCAGGUACGGGAUACUCAAAGUAUUUAUCGUUCUCCUUGCUGUAUACAAUUGGUUCUAUUCUUUUGUAUGACUCCAAGAGGUUAAGUUACAUGUUCCUCUGAUGUUUGUGAUCCUGUGCGUCUAGCUGCCUCCGUAGUGUCACUGAUCUUACCUGAGCUCUCAUACUCAUUCUCUCUCACUUCUCUCCCCUCCUCCUGGUCCUCUUGCUUCCCUCCAGCCUCCUUUAGAACUCAUUAUCUUUUAGAGUAAUACCACCCUUAACCAGUAGUUUAACUCCCCACUCCCUCAAAGGGGACUCAUUUGUCUCACUAGUGCUUAUACAUGUGUUACUGUAAUAAAGUAAGUUUUUUAAAUGU
ensembl:processed_transcript 4933439C10Rik RIKEN cDNA 4933439C10 gene